rnacentral:sRNA from 1 species
GCCAGGCAUGGUGGUGUAUGCUUGUAAUCCCAGCGACAUGGAGGCUGAGGCAAGAGGAUCACAAGAUCCACACUAACCUCAGCAGUUUAGCCAGACCCUCAGCAAUUUAGUGAGACCCUGUCUCAA